UCUGUGCUCUGUGCUCUGUUUACCAGGUCAGGUCCGAAAGGAAGCAGCCAAGGCAGAGACGCAGAGCAGGCAGA
rnacentral:rRNA from 1 species